GCGGUAAAACCCCUGGCUAUGAAAUGGCACGGAAAUUAAGAGCACGUUGUACCAAUCGGUGUUGCCACUUCCAUGCUCCGUUGAUCAGAAAAAUAGUACCAACAGUAGUCAACCAAUUUUUUGGAAAAUUUCCAAAAUGAGGAAAUUCACAUAACUGACUUAAGCACCAAUAGCGUGACGAAGACUAUCGUGACUUGACUAUGAUAAUUACUCGUAUCUACUUGACGAACUACGUGUUUUU